rnacentral:rRNA from 1 species
UACGUAGGGCGCAAGCGUUGUCCGGAAUUAUUGGACGUAAAGAGCUCGUAGGCGGCUUGUCACGUCGGGUGUGAAAGCCCGGGGCUUAACCCCGGGUCUGCAUUCGAUACGGGCAGGCUAGAGUGUGGUAGGGGAGAUCGGAAUUCCUGGUGUAGCGGUGAAAUGCGCAGGUAUCAGGAGGAACACCGGUGGCGAAGGCGGAUCUCUGGGCCAUUACUGACGCUGAGGAGCGAAAGCGUGGGGAGCGAACAGG